GUGGCGAACGGGUGAGUAAUACGUGAGUGACCUACCUUUGACUCUGGGACAAGCCUGGGAAACUGGGUCUAAUACCGGAUACGACCAAUCUCCGCAUGGGGUGUUGGUGGAAAGCGUUAUGGAGUGGUUUUAGAUGGGCUCACGGCCUAUUAGCUUGUUGGUGAGGUAAUGGCUUACCAAGGCGACGACGGGUAGCCGGCCUGAGAGGGUGACCGGCCACACUGGGACUGAGACACGGCCCAGACUCCUACGGGAGGCAGCAGUGGGGAAUAUUGCACAAUGGGCGCAAGCCUGAUGCAGCGACGCCGCGUGAGGGAUGACGGCCUUCGGGUUGUAAACCUCUGUUAGCAUCGAAGAAGCGAAAGUGACGGUAGGUGCAGAGAAAGCGCCGGCUAACUACGUGCCAGCAGCCGCGGUAAUACGUAGGGCGCGAGCGUUGUCCGGAAUUAUUGGGCGUAAAGAGCUUGUAGGCGGUUGGUCGCGUCUGCUGUGAAAGGCUGGGGCUUAACCCUGGUUUUGCAGUGGGUACGGGCUAACUAGAGUGCAGUAGGGGAGACUGGAAUUCCUGGUGUAGCGGUGGAAUGCGCAGAUAUCAGGAGGAACACCGAUGGCGAAGGCAGGUCUCUGGGCUGUAACUGACGCUGAGAAGCGAAA
rnacentral:rRNA from 1 species